AGUGGUGGGAGAGAGUUAGUCUUC
rnacentral:siRNA from 1 species